GUUUCCGUAGGUGAACCUGCUGCUGGAUCAUUACCCAAGUGAUUCCAAUUCACCACCUAUCUGUGCUGUUCAUGUUGGCUUGUGCGGGCACCACCAUAUGCCUUCGCUUGCAGUAGCGGACUUAGACCGUACGAAUUUGGUCUGACGCACUGGCUGACGUUAAUGGAUGGCCGCCCUGUGGGCAACUCUCGUUGGGGUGUUUACGCCUCUACGGCUGGAGCUGGUAUACCAGUCACAGCUUACACGCAUAAAAGCCUGAGGUUGGCUGCGUCUAGCUUGUGUGCUGGUGGUGAGUGGUCCGCUUGCGGUCCUCCUCGCUGCACCAGCCUAGUGUGCGGACACGCCCGCAGGGCACACUAACGGCUGUGCUGGCGUCUGAGCGUUGUUGAGUGGUUGUUGUGCCAAGCGUGUGCAUGCUGACUUUGGAAGUGGUUCUUCCAUAGUCUUACGUACCGUAACUAGCGGUGUGUGUGCGCUUGUGUGCUACGUCCGUGGCCACGAUGAGACACCGUGUUAGGGCCCGUGCUCGCUGCAGGCACGUGGCUUAAGACUUAAUGAGUGCACGGAUUGCACCGCCAGCAUUUAUUAUCUAUUUAUUUUUUUACAUUCAUUGAAUGAACAAGUAUAUUCUAGCCUUAUCGGUGGAUCACUCGGCUCGUGGAUCGAUGAAGAACGCAGCCAACUGCGAUAAUUAGUGUGAACUGCAGAAACCUUGAACACCGAACUUUCGAAUGCACAUUGCGCCAUUGGAGUUAUAUCCAUUGGCACGCCUGGUUCAGGGUCGUAACCAUAAAACGCACAGCUUAUGCGUGUUUAACUCGUUGGAUCAUGCGGACACGCGUGUUCUUUCGGUGUGACUUAUGUGCUUCGCCGGUGGUUUGGGUGUGCUGGCGUGAUCUGUAUGUUUAAUCGCGCUUUACGUGCCGUAAUUUAGGCACACCCAUUCCCUUGCGUUGUGCAGAGUGCUUGGCUGGUAGGCACUCAGUGCUUUAACUUUUCGACCUGAACUCAGACGUGAACACCCGCUGAACUUAAGCAUAU
rnacentral:rRNA from 1 species